rnacentral:pre_miRNA from 1 species
GGAAAUUUAGAAACUACUGUUGGAUCGAAAAAUGGACGUCCGAGAUUCGUCCACGUCACCAUGAGUAAAAAUUUUACUCCCAAUAAAAUUAGUAAAAUUUUUACUCAUGAGUGAAUCCGCGAAUAAAAUUUUUACUCGUUAUGAUAUGGACGAAUCUCAGACAUCUAUUUUUCGAUCAAACGGUAGUUUCCAGGUUUCC